CCUACGGGAGGCUGCAGUGGGGAAUAUUGGACAAUGGGGGGAACCCUGAUCCAGCCAUGCCGCGUGUGUGAAGAAGGCCCUCGGGUUGUAAAGCACUUUCAGUGAGGAAGAACGCCUGGUGGUUAAUACCCAUCAGGAAAGACAUCACUCACAGAAGAAGCACCGGCUAACUCCGUGCCAGCAGCCGCGGUAAUACGGAGGGUGCGAGCGUUAAUCGGAAUUACUGGGCGUAAAGCGCGCGUAGGUGGCUUGAUAAGCCGGUUGUGAAAGCCCCGGGCUCAACCUGGGAACGGCAUCCGGAACUGUCAAGCUAGAGUACAGGAGAGGAAGGUAGAAUUCCCGGUGUAGCGGUGAAAUGCGUAGAGAUCGGGAGGAAUACCAGUGGCGAAGGCGGCCUUCUGGACUGACACUGACACUGAGGUGCGAAAGCGUGGGUAGCAAACAGGAUUAGAUACCCUAGUAGUC
rnacentral:rRNA from 1 species